AGGGAGGAUGGAAACACCCACUGAAACCCCCCCCUAAGUGACUUUCAUUAUUAACAUCCCCUUAUUAUUAGAAUUGCUAUGAUUAUUAUUCUUACUUAGCCCCAGGAAAAAUAGAUGAGAACAACAUGCUUGCAGGGUUAAUUCAGAUGUCCCACUCUGUCCCCACCCACCCAGGAUAUUACCAGGAGAGCCCACUUACAAAAUUAAACCUAAGAAUUCUUAUAUACCUACUUAGAUAAGACCCUCUUUUCUAGGCAUAAAAACUUCUGGCAAAUCUGUACUCUGAAUUCCCUAACCUAUAUCUGGAUCAUGUUGAUUCUACCCUCUGACCCUGCACUUAGCAACAAUGUUUCAUUGACUAUCUCCCUAGGCUUCUUGUCUGUUGUUAGGUUCCAUGGAAACAUGUAUGUUGAGAAUGAACCUGUGUAUGAGGGUAUAAAAUAAAGCCAGGCCUCAGCCAAGGAGGAGUAGUUUAUCCUGUGAAACCUGUGCUACAGGUUGAAUGUGAAAGCUCUGUCCCCUCCAUCAUUCUGCCGACACCAUCCCACCUCCGAGACCCUAUCCCCUGUGGGAGGCUGGUCAACCCCCCCCCCCCAGCAACUGGUGCCUGGGACCAGGGACUCUUGGCUAGUAUAACAGACAUGCACAUGUAUAAACUAUAUCAUAUUGCCUGCCAUCUCAGGAAGGGGGAAGACGAGGAAGUGAGAGUGAGAACAUGGAUCAAAAAUGUUAUAAAAUACUAUCAAAAUUCUAUCUACAAGUAAUCUGGUAGAAAGAUGAGGAAACUGAGACAAACAGGAUUGGGUGACUUGUCCAAGGUCACACAGCCAGUAAAAGUCUAAACCAGAUUUUAAUUUAGGAAGAUGGGUCUUCUUGACUUCAGUCCCAAUACUACUAUGUCACCUAAACAUGACUCAGUGGCUAUUAAAGUACUUUCUAACUCUGAAAUUGUGAUUCUGUGUAUGCUUUGAUUCCCCCAAAAGACUAUAAAUUCUUCAAAGGUAGAAGUAUGUAUAGUAUGCUCCCUUCAGAUUCCCCAAAUUACCUAGUACAAUAUUAUUAAAUUCCAUCCUAUUCAGAAAAUUUGUAUUAAAUGCCUACUAUGCUAAGAUACAAAGAUAAAAGAUAGGUCAUCCCAAACUGUAUAUUGCAUUAGGAUAUUCUAACAUGGGGCUGAGUAUAAAGAAACCAAGAAAGAAAAUCCAAUAAAGUACCCUAAGAAAAUGUGAGGAAGGAGAGA
rnacentral:lncRNA from 1 species